GUGUCCUAAGUUCCACCCCCCUCACUAGAUAUAGGUGCCUAUGCCCAGGCUACAGGGAGGCAACUGUCUUUGUUGGCAACCCACAAAUUGGGAGAAGAUAGGCAUUCUACCACCUAUGUCAUGUGCUAGGACCCGAGGACCAAUCCAUUAGGUGUGCUUAAAGACCAUCUAAUUCCAUGUCAAACAGCUGGAGAAGGAGGACAAGGAUUUAAUUACAAUCUUUAUCUCAGCAGUUGGGGGCACUUACCCAGCAUGUGGGAGACCCCAAUUUCAAGCCUCCCCUCUGCCUGAUGAUCAGAAGAGAUUAGAACAGGAAUCUGCUACCUCUCAGGGCUCAAAGUGCUGGGUGGAAAUGCAGGCUUGGAACAAUGAACAAAGAAACUGUCUGCUGCUGAUCAAUCCCUACUAUGUUCAGGGAAACAAACUUUAUGCAUAUUUUGUACGUAAACAAGAUUGCAUCAAAGAAAAUACCUGACUGCAUCAUCAAUUUCUCCUCCUAAUGGAAACAACCCUCAGGACCCUGAACUUUGGCUAUUGGGUCAAAAGGGGAUAAGGAUACUCUUUUCAGUAAUAUAUUUUAAGCUCUCUGUUCAGUGGGUAGAUCUCUCAUUUAGGUCCUGAUCAAGAGCCCAACUGAGUCACAGAAAUCCUUCCAUUGGCUUCAGUGGUCUUUUGGGUCAGGCCUUGACUGCUCACUGUAAAACCUGUGCAAUACAUAAAUCCAUAGGGCUGAAGCCUCAGCUUGUGUAAACUGGUGUAUUCCCGUGACUCUAAUAGGGCUAUGCCAAUCCACACCACCUGAGGAUCUGGCACAUAGAUUCUAAUGACAAAAAGGACUACUGUGGUCAUUUUAGACUGACCCUCUGCAUGACACAGGCCAUAGAAUUUCACUCAGUGAUUUCUGAAGCGGAGAAAAUUAUUCUUCCCUAUUACAUACAUGAACACUAUUGAACACAAUUGCUUGUGCAUGAACUAGGGAAAUGGGGCCCUGAUUUUGCUCUGUUAAAUGAAUAAAUUUGAACUAAGGGAGUAAACCACACUAUUGGAUCUUAAGGUUGGAAGAACAAGACCAAAGUUUUUGGCCCAAACCAAUUUCAAUGUGAUGAGAGAGAGCCAUAUAAUUUUAGGGACAGUGAAAAAUUGGCUUUCAAACUUUCUGUAGACUGGGGAAUUACUGUGAAUGUCUGUCAAGAGUUUGUGUUGAAAGAAAUGUUGCCACAUUUUUAAUGGGAAAAAAGCUUGAAAGCAGAUUCCUUGUGAUUCAGAUAGAUGCUAAUCACUAGAGGCAGGGACUUGUAAAUAAAUUAACUGAUACCA